rnacentral:rRNA from 1 species
AACGGCCGCGGUAUCCUAACCGUGCGAAGGUAGCGUAAUCACUUGUUCUUUAAAUGAGGACUAGUAUGAAUGGCACCACGAGGGUUAAGCUGUCUCCUUUUUCUAAUCAGUGAAACUAAUCUCCCCGUGAAGAAGCGGGGAUUGUACUAUAAGACGAGAAGACCCUAUGGAGCUUAAAACAAAUUAACACCUGCUUCUAUCCAUUUUUACUCCUGAACUAACACAUAAAAUAUAGCAUCGUUGAUUAAUAGUUUUCGAUUGGGGUGAUCAUGGAGUAAAAACCAACCUCCACGACGAAAAGGAACACUUCCCUGAGCUAAAAGCUACAACUUUAAGCACUAAAAAAUUAACGCACUUUGACCCAAAUUUUUGAGCAACGAACCAAGUUACCCUAGGGAUAACAGCGCAAUCCAUUUCAAGAGCCCCUAUCGACAAAUGGGUUUACGACCUCGAUGUUGGAUCAGGGUAUCCCAGUGGUGCAGCCGCUACUAAAGGUUCGUUUGUUCAACGAUUAAAACCCUACGUGAUCUGAGUUCAGACCGGAGAAAUCCAGGUCAGUUUCUAUCUAUAAAGGGCUUUUUCUAGUACGAAAGGACCGAAAAAGCAUGGCCAAUGAUCAAUUAAGCCAUAUAAAUUACUCAUGUUUUCAACUCAAUUAGAAACAAACCUACCACAAACCUCAAAAAAAGAGAAGUUAACGUAGCAAAACCUGGCCCUGCAA